UAUUUCUUCAUGCCAGGGUCGGGUCUCAGGAGAGCAAACAGAAUGCUGAUGCGUGCUUGGAAUUAGAGCCAGCCAGGAGGGGCGCGCUGGGGAGGCUCUUUCUGAGGCCUCAUCCAGCAGAUACUCCCGCCAGCCACUCCGAAUGCACUCCCACUCCGCAGCCGCAGCCAGCCAUCAACCGGUUGUGGCCACGCAAGGGCCAAGUUCUUUUGUUUGAGGUGUUCUCCCCUUUUCCCCUCAAAUCCUCUCCUUUCCAGGACCAUGAGCUUCCUGUUGCCAUUUUUCUAACCAACUGAAUUACAUGGGUAAUUGUGAACAAAGAUGGUUCCUGCUGGUCUCACCUUUGGAACAUACAAACUUAAGCUCCCCCAGGUUAUUCCGAAGUGCAUCCAGAGUUGAGGAGCCUGCCUCAGAGUUUUCAGAGCAGUCACGGCCUGCCUUGGCUCAAUCCUUGCCACAGCCUGGAUGGCAGACAGGAAGGAAAUCCAAGUUUGAGUGGAAGAGGGCACCUCGCCAUGGAACUCACCACUCCCAGGGUGGGGCCUCCCAAUGGACCGACCCGGUCUUUCCUGCGGCGCCUGCCCACAAGGGCACAGACUGAGGGGGUUGAGGGAGAGAAGUCAACAGUGACAAUAUGGGUGAUCCAGGAGGGUCCCCCAAAGAGUUUAUAGCCUCUGCUGGGGGUCCUUAGGCAGGGUUGGGAUACCACUGGUGGGGGUCACAUGGGGAGGAUGGUUUUAGGUGAUUCAUGGGAAAACUUUUAAAAUGUUUAAUACCUAUGUAUUUAUUUUAAUGUACAUUAAGAAAAAUGUAGCUCGCUAAGCCUGUAAUUUCACAGGUAUUUCCAAUACAAAGUUCCUGGCAAAAUUAAUUUAAUUAAGCAGAAAAGGAGCACAUUUAAAGCAAAACGUUAAGGAGAUAAUAGUACCAGUGGGACUUGGAUAUAGCCAACAUAGUGACGACAGCUGGGUGUCCCCCAAG
rnacentral:lncRNA from 1 species